UACGGAGGAUGCAAGCGUUAUCCGGAAUGAUUGGGCGUAAAGCGUCCGCAGGUGGCUAUGUAAGUCUGCUGUUAAAGAGUGAGGCUCAACCUCAUAAAAGCAGUGGAAACUACAUGGCUAGAGUGCGUUCGGGGCAGAGGGAAUUCCUGGUGUAGCGGUGAAAUGCGUAGAUAUCAGGAAGAACACCGGUGGCGAAAGCGCUCUGCUAGGCCGUAACUGACACUAAUGGACGAAAGCUAGGGGAGCGAAUGGG
rnacentral:rRNA from 1 species